GACUCUGGUGGCCUAAUGGUUAGAGCGUCCGUCUCGGAUAUGAGAGGUGCUGGGUUCAAAGCCCGGCCGAGUCA